rnacentral:rRNA from 1 species
AGCAGCCGCGGUAAUUCCAGCUCCAAUAGCGUAUAUUAAAGUUGUUGCAGUUAAAAAGCUCGUAGUUGAAUUUCGGGAUUGACGUGACGGUCAUGCCUUAAGGGGUAUGAACUGUUACAGUUGAUUUCUCACCUUCUGGAGAAACUUGAUGUCCUUUAUUGGGUGUCUUGCGGAUCCAGGACCUUUACCUUGAAAAAAUUAGAGUGUUUAAAGCAGGCAUUUUUGCUCGAAUACAUUAGCAUGGAAUAAUAGAAUAGGACGGCAUGGUUCUAUUUUGUUGGUUUCUAGGAUCACCGUAAUGAUUAAUAGGGAUAGUUGGGGGCAUUAGUAUUCAAUUGUCAGAGGUGAAAUUCUUGGAUUUAUGAAGACUAACUAC